AGCGAACGCUGGCGGCAGGCUUAACACAUGCAAGUCGAGCGCCCCGCCAGGGGAGCGGCAGACGGGAGAGUAACACGUGGGAACAUACCUUUUGGUUCGGAACAACUGAGGGAAACUUCAGCUAAUACCGGAUAAGCCCUUACGGGGAAAGAUUUAUCGCCGAAAGAUUGGCCCGCGUCUGAUUAGCUAGUUGGUGAGGUAACGGCUCACCAAGGCGACGAUCAGUAGCUGGUCUGAGAGGAUGAUCAGCCUCACUGGGACUGAGACACGGCCCAGACUCGACGGGGCGGCAGUGGUGGCGAUGAGUGGAUAGUGGCGGCCCCCCUGAGCAGGCCGUGGGGGGUGGGUGAGGAAGGCCUUAGUGUGGUAACGCUCUUUGGCCAGGGAAGAGAGUGGCGGUACGGGGAGAGAACGCCCCGGCUAACUUCGUGCCGGCCGCCGCGGUAAUAAGCGGAAGAGCCAACGUCCGACC
rnacentral:rRNA from 1 species